UGGGGAAUAUUGCACAAUGGGCGCAAGCCUGAUGCAGCCAUGCCGCGUGUAUGAAGAAGGCCUUCGGGUUGUAAAGUACUUUCAGUCGGGAGGAAGGUGGUAAGGUUAAUAACCUUAUCAAUUGACGUUACCGACAGAAGAAGCACCGGCUAACUCCGUGCCAGCAGCCGCGGUAAUACGGAGGGUGCAAGCGUUAAUCGGAAUUACUGGGCGUAAAGCGCACGCAGGCGGUUGAUUGAGUCAGAUGUGAAAUCCCCGGGCUUAACCCGGGAACUGCAUCUGAUACUGGCAAGCUUGAGUCUCGUAGAGGGGGGUAGAAUUCCAGGUGUAGCGGUGAAAUGCGUAGAGAUCUGGAGGAAUACCGGUGGCGAAGGCGGCCCCCUGGACGAAGACUGACGCUCAGGUGCGAAAGCGUGGGGAGCAAACAGG
rnacentral:rRNA from 1 species